CAGCAGCAGCCGCGGUAAUACAGAGGGUGCGAGCGUUAAUCGGAUUUACUGGGCGUAAAGCGUGCGUAGGCGGCUUCUUAAGUCGGAUGUGAAAUCCCUGAGCUUAACUUAGGAAUUGCAUUCGAUACUGGGAAGCUAGAGUAUGGGAGAGGAUGGUAGAAUUCCAGGUGUAGCGGUGAAAUGCGUAGAGAUCUGGAGGAAUACCGAUGGCGAAGGCAGCCAUCUGGCCUAAUACUGACGCUGAGGUACGAAAGCAUGGGGAGCAAACAGGAUUAGAUACCCCGGUAGUCCCUGUCUCUUAUAC
rnacentral:rRNA from 1 species